GGAUGUAAGGGCCAUCUGGCUGUGACAUCCGUCACCCCACUGAUCGCCAGGGUUGAUUAGCUGAUCUGGCUGGCUGGGUGGGUGUCCCCUUCCUCCCUCACUGCUCCAGGUGCAUUCCUCCUGGACCGAAGUUCACCCUUGGGAUGCUGAGCACUGGGGAUGAGCUGUCCUACC
rnacentral:snRNA from 1 species